rnacentral:tmRNA from 1 species
AAACAAUAAUUUCGCAGUAGCUGCCUAAUCGCACUCUGCAUCGCCUAACAGCAUUUCCUAUGUGCUGUUAACGCGAUUCAACCUUAAUAGGAUAUGCUAAACACUGCCGUUUGAAGUCUGUUUAGAAGAAACUUAAUCAAACUAGCAUCAUGUUGGUUGUUUAUCACUUUUCAUGAUGCGAAACCUAUCGAUAAACUACACACGUAGAAAGAUGUGUAUCAGGACCUUUGGACGCGGGUUCAAAUCCCGCCGUCUCCAUAU